rnacentral:rRNA from 1 species
CGACCGGCGCACGGGUGCGUAACGCGUAUGCAACCUACCUUAACAGGGGGAUAACACUGAGAAAUUGGUACUAAUACCCCAUAAUAUCAUAGAAGGCAUCUUUUAUGGUUGAAAAUUCCGAUGGUUAGAGAUGGGCAUGCGUUGUAUUAGCUAGUUGGUGGGGUAACGGCUCACCAAGGCGACGAUACAUAGGGGGACUGAGAGGUUAACCCCCCACACUGGUACUGAGACACGGACCAG